rnacentral:rRNA from 1 species
GCGAACGGGUGAGUAACACGUGGGCAAUCUGCCCUGCACUCUGGGAACAAGCCCUGGAAACGGGGUCUAAUACCGGAUAACACUCCCACCUGCAUGUGGGGGUGUUAAAAGCUCCUGCGGUGCAGGAUGAGCCCGCGGCCUAUCAGCUUGUUGGUGAGGUAAUGGCUCACCAAGGCGACGACGGGUAGCCGGCCUGAGAGGGCGACCGGCCACACUGGGACUGAGACACGGCCCAGACUCCUACGGGAGGCAGCAGUGGGGAAUAUUGCACAAUGGGCGAAAGCCUGAUGCAGCGACGCCGCGUGAGGGAUGACGGCCUUCGGGUUGUAAACCUCUUUCAGCAGGGAAGAAGCGAAAGUGACGGUACCUGCAGAAGAAGCGCCGGCUAACUACGUGCCAGCAGCCGCGGUAAUACGUAGGGCGCAAGCGUUGUCCGGAAUUAUUGGGCGUAAAGAGCUCGUAGGCGGUUUGUCACGUCGGAUGUGAAAGCCCGGGGCUUAACCCCGGGUCUGCAUUCGAUACGGGCUAACUAGAGUGUGGUAGGGGAGAUCGGAAUUCCUGGUGUAGCGGUGAAAUGCGCAGAUAUCAGGAGGAACACCGGUGGCGAAGGCGGAUCUCUGGGCCAUUACUGACGCUGAGGAGCGAAAGCGUGGGGAGCGAACAGGAUUAGAUACCCUGGUAGUCCA